rnacentral:rRNA from 1 species
AUGAAUCUUUUAAGUUGGAACUGCCGGGGGGCGGGGAACUCCCGGACAAUUCGAGAAGUAGCGACAUUUAUCCAGUUGCAUUCCCCUAGCUUGGUGUUUUUAUGUGAAACUAGGCAACCAAAGGAGAAAAUGAAGAGGUACAGGAAAAGAUUUGGUUUGAAAGGUUUUGAGGGGUUGAGCAUUGGCAACAGUGGAGGGCUAGCUCUAUAUUGGAAUGAG